GGUUAAGCGACUAAGCGUACACGGUGGAUGCCCUGGCAGUCAGAGGCGAUGAAGGACGUGCUAAUCUGCGAUAAGCGUCGGUAAGGUGAUAUGAACCGUUAUAACCGGCGAUUUCCGAAUGGGGAAACCCAGUGUGUUUCGACACACUAUCAUUAACUGAAUCCAUAGGUUAAUGAGGCGAACCGGGGGAACUGAAACAUCUAAGUACCCCGAGGAAAAGAAAUCAACCGAGAUUCCCCCAGUAGCGGCGAGCGAACGGGGAGCAGCCCAGAGCCUGAAUCAGUGUGUGUGUUAGUGGAAGCGUCUGGAAAGGCGCGCGAUACAGGGUGACAGCCCCGUACACAAAAAUGCACAUGCUGUGAGCUCGAUGAGUAGGGCGGGACACGUGGUAUCCUGUCUGAAUAUGGGGGGACCAUCCUCCAAGGCUAAAUACUCCUGACUGACCGAUAGUGAACCAGUACCGUGAGGGAAAGGCGAAAAGAACCCCGGCGAGGGGAGUGAAAAAGAACCUGAAACCGUGUACGUACAAGCAGUGGGAGCACGCUUAGGCGUGUGACUGCGUACCUUUUGUAUAAUGGGUCAGCGACUUAUAUUCUGUAGCAAGGUUAACCGAAUAGGGGAGCCGAAGGGAAACCGAGUCUUAACUGGGCGUUAAGUUGCAGGGUAUAGACCCGAAACCCGGUGAUCUAGCCAUGGGCAGGUUGAAGGUUGGGUAACACUAACUGGAGGACCGAACCGACUAAUGUUGAAAAAUUAGCGGAUGACUUGUGGCUGGGGGUGAAAGGCCAAUCAAACCGGGAGAUAGCUGGUUCUCCCCGAAAGCUAUUUAGGUAGCGCCUCGUGAAUUCAUCUCCGGGGGUAGAGCACU
rnacentral:rRNA from 1 species